rnacentral:misc_RNA from 1 species
UCCGGCUUAUCACCGGCGGUUUCUUUAGAGUGCCCAACUAAAUGAUGGCAACUAAAGACGAGGGUUGCGCUCGUUGCGGGACUUAACCCAACAUCUCAUGACACGAGCUGACGACAGCCAUGCAGCACCUGUGUAACACCCUCGAAGGCUUCCGAGCUUUCGUCCGGCGUGCAGUUACAUGUCAAGUCCAGGUAAGGUUCUUCGCGUUGCAUCGAAUUAAGCCACAUGCUCCACCGCUUGUGCGGGCCCCCGUCAAUUCCUUUGAGUUUUAGCCUUGCGGCCGUACUCCCCAGGCGGGGCACUUAAUGCGUUAGCUUCGGCACGGAGGGAGUCGACACCCCCCACACCUAGUGCCCAUCGUUUACAGCGUGGACUAC